GAGGUUAAACCAUUUUCCAUUGUGGUUAACUUCACUUCUGUUCAUAACAGUGAUACCUGGACUCUGGUAAAUGUUUAUGGCCCCAGUCAAGGGGAAUUGAGAGAUGAAUUUGUGCAGUGGUUGUAUAACUUGAAUAUUGACCCUCAAACAAAUUGGAUGACUUUGGGGGAUUUCAAUUUCAUUCGUUCUCUGGAUAACAGAAACUUGCCAGGGGGGGAUGUAAAUGACAUGCUUAUCUUCAAUGAAAUUAUAGGCCAUUUGGGUCUGCUUGAGUUACCAAUUAAAGGUAGGAAAUACACCUGGUCAAACAUGCAAGACUCACCCCUAUUGGAGCAAUUAGACUGGAUUUUCACAUCAGCUAAUUGGAUUGAUUCUUAUCCAAUGACACAAGUUGUUCCUCUGGCAAGAACUACUUCUGAUCAUGUUCCAUGCUUGGUUUACAUC
rnacentral:rRNA from 1 species